GAUGAACGCUGGCGGCGUGCCUAACACAUGCAAGUCGAGCGGCAGCGCGGGGUGCUUGCACCCUGUCGGCGAGCGGCGGACGGCUGAGUAACGCGUGGGAACGUGCCCCAAAGUGAGGAAUAACUGCCCGAAAGGGUAGCUAAUACCGCAUAUUAUCUUCGGAUCAAAGGAUUUAUCCGCUUUGGGAGCGGCUCGCGUCGGAUUAGGUAGUUGGUGAGGUAAUGGCUCACCAAGCCGACGAUCCGUAGCUGGUCUGAGAGGAUGACCAGCCAGACUGGAACUGAGACACGGUCCAGACUCCUACGGGAGGCAGCAGUGAGGAAUCUUCCACAAUGGGCGAAAGCCUGAUGGAGCAACGCCGCGUGCAGGACGAAGGCCCUCGGGUUGUAAACUGCUUUUAUAAGUGAGGAAUAUGACGGUAACUUAUGAAUAAGGAUCGGCUAACUACGUG
rnacentral:rRNA from 1 species